rnacentral:rRNA from 1 species
GAUGAACGCUAGCUACAGGCUUAACACAUGCCAGUCGAGGGGCAGCAUGGUCUUAGCUUGCUAAGGCCGAUGGCGACCGGCGCACGGGUGAGUAACACGUAUCCAACCUGCCGUCUACUCUUGGACAGCCUUCUGAAAGGAAGAUUAAUACAAGAUGGCAUCAUGAGUCCGCAUGUUCACAUGAUUAAAGGUAUUCCGGUAGACGAUGGGGAUGCGUUCCAUUAGAUAGUAGGCGGGGUAACGGCCCACCUAGUCUUCGAUGGAUAGGGGUUCUGAGAGGAAGGUCCCCCACAUUGGAACUGAGACACGGUCCAAACUCCUACGGGAGGCAGCAGUGAGGAAUAUUGGUCAAUGGGCGCAGGCCUGAACCAGCCAAGUAGCGUGAAGGAUGACUGCCCUAUGGGUUGUAAACUUCUUUUAGAAAGGAAUAAAGUCGGGUAUGUAUACCCGUUUGCAUGUACUUUAUGAAUAAGGAUCGGCUAACUCCGUG